CUCCACUUUUUCCCAAGCACAGACUUUCACCUUACUCCACUCAGAGGCUUCCUAUGGAAAAGGCUCUAUGCUUGCAAUCACAAUUUCCUAAUGCUUCUUAAUUAUCUAUAGUGCAUAUUUUUGAGAUGGGGCAUGGCACGCCUAGAACUUCUGUUAGCUCUGUGGAUUGCUUUUGAAAUCAGCACUUUUAUUAAUGGUCAAAAACACAGAUUCCACAUACAUAAACUGCUUUAUGUUUUUUUGGAGUGUACGUUUAACACAAAAGUGCCCAUCACUUUAAUGAACAUUCCUAAUUUCUCAAAAUGUGUACAUUUCUGAAUUUCUCAAAACACAUCAGGAAAAUUAAUUAUCGCUUAACUUUAAAAAUAUGUGUCUUCUUCCUCUGUUUUGGUUUAUUU